rnacentral:rRNA from 1 species
CAGUCGCCGCGGGAAUACCAGCACCUCGAGUGGUCAGGAGGUUUAUUGGGCCUAAAGCAUCCGUAGCCGGUUGCAUAAGUUUUCGGUUAAAUCUAUGCGCUUAACGUAUAGGCCGCCGAAAAUACUGUGCAGCUAGGGAGUGGGAGAGGUACACGGUACUCGAUAGGAAGGGGUAAAAUCCUUUGAUCUAUUGAUGACCACCUGUGGCGAAGGCGGUGUACCAGAACACGUUCGACGGUGAGGGAUGAAAGCUGGGGGAGCAAACCGGAUUAGAUACCCCAGUAGUCCCUGUCUCUUAUAA